ACUCCCAGCAGCUAAGGUGACAAGCGUUUUUCGGUUCUGCCAGGGGAUCUGAGUGGCACACAACAACAUCCACUAUGAAAUGUGGUGUGUGCUGGGUGGGGGCUGACUGAGGAGCUCGAGAGUAGGAGUGAGGCAGGCUAUUUUAAAGAGGUGGCAAGGGAAGGCCUCUCUGAGCAAAGGCAGAGACUUUAGGCAAAGACUUGAUUGGUGUGAGGAAGUGAGCCAUUCAAAGUCAAGGGCACCAGAGGUUCUAAGCAGAGGAAACAGCAAAUGCAAAGCAGAGAACAAGCUUGGCACAUUUGAGAACCAACAAUAAGUCCAGUGUGUCUGGAGCCACAGGAGUCAAGGAGACAGCAGCUGGCAGUUCAGCCAAUGGGCUACCAGGAAACCAGAUGGCAGAGAGCCUGGUAGACCACGGUAGAAGCAUAUGGGAAACUGCAUUCCGAUCCAGGGAAGUAUAGGAAGCAGUAAUAAAAGUGGGAAGACCUAUUAUAAGUUCGUUGCAGUCAUCCAGGAGGCAGAGUGUGUGCAGGAACUCAAAGCCCAUGGAACAGCAGGAUGCAGCUUUUCUUGGCUCCGUUACUGAGAGAUCCUGUCUGAUGUUUCCUCUCUGACAGGCCGUGACUGGGGACAUUUGGAUGGCCAGCAGAGCUGGAUUUAGAGGCAGAAGAGCUGGGCAGCUGUCCCAGUUACUCAUCUAUGAGGGGAGCUGAAAGAUCAUGAGAAUAAAUCAGAAAGAUGGUGCCAGUUAACCCCGCUUUCCACACAAGACUCUUGAUAUAAUUGGUGAAGUGGAAACUCCAGCCAAAGUACACUCCAUCCUCAAGCAAAACAUAAAACACACUCCUGAUGGAUACAGAAAGUUCUGGUGGCCUUAGAGCCUGAUUUGGUGCCAACCUGCCUGCGUUCAAAUCCAGGUUCCACUACUCACUGGAUGUGUGACCUUAGACAACUUCUUUCACCUCCUAGUGCUCUGUUCCCUUGGCUAUAAAAUAAAAAUUAUAAGAGUGCCAGUUUUGAACACUAAAUGGGCAUAAAGGAAACACUUAGACCCCAGACGGGCAUGUAGCAGGAACUUUAUAAUGGUUAGCUACUCAUUACCAUCUUUGUGAUGAGCUCAAGCAAGUUGCCUAAUGCCACUGGAGGCUGCACCCCUACCUGAGACAGCCACCUGAACAUUUCCUUAACGUGCAGCCUCUGAGAGCUGAAACUCUGAAAGGAAGUCCUGCAUAAUGAGCAUUUAUUAUGUUCAAGUAAUUAAUUUUCUCUCUUAAAAAUGUAACCCCCUUAGUACACCUCAAAAGAAAUCAUCUGACUUAGAAAAUACAAAAGACAUCUGAACAACAUCAAACAUUACAGAAAAGUUUUGCCCACGUGAAAGUCCCACUCCACCCCACCGCACCCCAAGAAAAGCAAAGCAAACAUAAAACCAACUUUUGAACAUUUUGAACAAGUGUUUGUAACCAUAUCGAUAUAUGCAUUACCUCUGUCCUGAGUGGGCAAAUCGGGAAGAACUGCAAAUGAUGUGUGAAGAACUGUACCCUGCGUGCCAGGCAGAUAUUCAUUCAUGAACAGAUAUUUACAUGACAGAAAGUGUCCUAGGCCUGGUGGAUGUGAAGAAAACAGACAGAGUCCCUGCUCUCAGGAAGCUGUGCCAGCAGGAGAGACAGAGAGGCUUUCCUGAGGAAAGAGCAAUUAACCUCAAGUCUGUCUUCAAAAGGUUAGAGUCUUUUUUCUCCUGAGAAACAGAAAAGAGACGUUGGAAGCUGACAUGCCUCUUUGUUUAUUCUUCGUGCAACUCCUACCAAGAUCCUGGAAAAGCAGUGAUUCCUUCACAGUCACCCCUUUAGGGUGGUCCCUAAAACCAGAUGCAGAACAUUUUAGAAAACUCCAAGUCAGUGCUCAUUCCUUGGGGCAACCUGCUCUGGGCCUUGUUGAAGGAGAGGUCUGGUUUGUGACAUUAA
rnacentral:lncRNA from 1 species